CAGUCGCCACGGUAAUACGUAGGUGGCAAGCGUUGCCCGGAAUUAUUGGGCGUAAAGGGCUCGCAGGCGGUUUCUUAAGUCUGAUGUGAAAGCCCCCGGCUCAACCGGGGAGGGUCAUUGGAAACUGGGAAACUUGAGUGCAGAAGAGGAGAGUGGAAUUCCACGUGUAGCGGUGAAAUGCGUAGAGAUGUGGUGGAACACCAGUGGCGAAGGCGACUCUCUGGUCUGUAACUGACGCUGAGGAGCGAAAGCGUGGGGAGCGAACAGGAUUAGAUACCCCUGUAGUCCCUGUCUCUUAUAC
rnacentral:rRNA from 1 species